GCCGCGUUCGUCUAGUUGGCCUAGGACGCAAGGUUUUCAUCCUUGAAAUCAGGGGUUCGAAUCCCCUACGCGGUA
rnacentral:tRNA from 1 species